AAAGGCCAGACCCCUCACAAGUGGAAACUUCACAAGUGUUGUCGUCCGCAGCGACAUGGCAGGCGCGUCGUCCCGCCAGGGGCAGAGUCGUCCGAGGGAGGACACGCGUCCCGACGUCAGCGAAGGAGGCGUGCGGCUAUACGGUGACGCAGGAAACGCGGAAACACGGCGUCAGCGCUGCGCAGCCGAGUCCGGGGCAUCCGGGGCGGCGUCGGGUCCCGGGCCGGUAGGUGCGAGCCGCGGUCACACACGUGCUGGUACUUCACCGCCCUCCGGGCCUCUGAGACCGGCCCCGCGGCCCCGCACGGGGCAGGGGUCCUGAGCGCAGGCUCGCGCACGGCACACCCGGAGCACUUCCAGCCACCGCACCACGGGACGCCCGGGGAGGGGCCUCCGGGGCACUUCCGGCCACCGCACCACGGGACGCCCGGGGAGGGGCCUCGGCUCCCUCAGCGCUGAGGCCAGAGAGCGCCCUCCCGCCCGCGCACUCGGCUCCGCGUCACUUGUGCGACAGACGCAGGGCGGGGGUUGCGUGGUGGCCGGGCGACGGCGUGGCCAGGGUCCUGUAACAUCACCUGGACUUCUCAUCAACUUCUCCAGAACGUGUCUGCAGAAAGACAUCUCAAACCCCAGACACUGCUUACUAGACUCGAGAAGACUGGAAGUGAGACACGCCUAGGAGCCAAGUCUGCCCCAGACAAGGAAGAGUCAUGGACGAAUCUGAACUAGAACCUGGGCUUCCCACCGCCAAGCAAACAGUGGUCACCUGUCCACACCCCACCUCCAUUCACCCCUACAUCAGAAACUGGAUUCUCCAUCAACCAGACAGGGGAUACGAGUACCUUCCUGGCUUUCUUGCUAAUGAGGAGGAAGGAAAGAAAGCACCAGUAGGUUUAAUUCAGUAAACAGUUAAACCAAACUGAAUCCAUGUGUAAUUAAAAAAAAACAACGGGUUUGCCAAAGUUAACCAAAACCCUAACUAAAAACCGGUGACUCUACCCAAAGAAAAUGAAUAAUGCUUUAACAGAGGGCUGUUUCGUGAAGC